rnacentral:rRNA from 1 species
ACAAUGGGGGCAACCCUGAUCCAGCAAUGCCGCGUGAGUGAAGAAGGCCUUCGGGUUGUAAAGCUCUUUUGUCAGGGAAGAAACGGUGAGUUCUAAUACAACUUGCUAAUGACGGUACCUGAAGAAUAAGCACCGGCUAACUACGUGCCAGCAGCCGCGGUAAUACGUAGGGUGCAAGCGUUAAUCGGAAUUACUGGGCGUAAAGCGUGCGCAGGCGGUUUUAUAAGUCUGAUGUGAAAUCCCCGGGCUCAACCUGGGAACUGCAUUGGAGACUGUAAGGCUAGAGUGUGUCAGAGGGGGGUAGAAUUCCACGUGUAGCAGUGAAAUGCGUAGAUAUGUGGAGGAAUACCGAUGGCGAAGGCAGCCCCCUGGGAUAACACUGACGCUCAUGCACGAAAGCGUGGGGAGCAAACAGGAUUAGAUACCCUGGUAGUCCACGCCCUAAACGAUGUCUACUAGUUGUCGGGUCUUAAUUGACUUGGUAACGCAGCUAACGCGUGAAGUAGACCGGCUGGGGAGUACGGUCGCAAGAUUAA